rnacentral:rRNA from 1 species
AGCGAACGCUGGCGGCAGGCUUAACACAUGCAAGUCGAGCGGGCACUCUCGGGUGUCAGCGGCGGACGGGUGAGUAACGCGUGGGAACGUGCCCUCUGGUUCGGAAUAACUCAGGGAAACUUGAGCUAAUACCGGCUACGCCCUUUUGGGGAAAGGCUUGCUGCCGGAGGAUCUGACCGCGUCUGAUUAGCUAGUUGUUAAGGUAACGGCUCACCAAGGCGACGAUCAGUAGCUGGGAAGUGAGGAUGGUCAGCCACACUGAGACUGAGACGCGGCCGGGACUCUUACGGGAAGCAGGAGUGGCGGAUAUUGGAAAAUGGCGGCAGUGCUGAACCAGCCAUGCCGGGUGAGCGAUGAAGGCCUUAGAGUAGAAAAGCGCAAUUAUCCGUGACGAUAUUGACGGUACCGGAUGAAUAAGCCCCGGCUAACUUCGUG